rnacentral:rRNA from 1 species
GACGAACGCUGGCGGCGUGCCUAACACAUGCAAGUCGAACGGAACUGUUUUGACAGAUUUCUUCGGAAUGAAUUUGAUUUAGUUUAGUGGCGGACGGGUGAGUAACGCGUGAGUAACCUGCCUUCAAGAGGGGAAUAACAUUCUGAAAAGAAUGCUAAUACCGCAUGACAUAUCGGAACCACAUGGUUUUGAUAUCAAAGAUUUUAUCGCUUGAAGAUGGACUCGCGUCCGAUUAGUUAGUUGGUGAGGUAACGGCUCACCAAGACCGCGAUCGGUAGCCGGACUGAGAGGUUGAACGGCCACAUUGGGACUGAGACACGGCCCAGACUCCUACGGGAGACAGCAGUGGGGGAUAUUGCGCAAUGGGGGCAACCCUGACGCAGCAACGCCGCGUGAAGGAUGAAGGUUUUCGGAUUGUAAACUUCUUUUAUUAAGGACGAAAAAUGACGGUACUUAAUGAAUAAGCUCCGGCUAACUACGUG